rnacentral:rRNA from 1 species
UGAAAUCCCCGGCCUCAUCGGAGGAAUUGCGGUGGGGGCUGCAAGGGUGGAAUCUGACAGAAGGGGGGUGAGGUCACACGGGUAGCAGAGACAUGCGUGUGCUCUGGAGGAACACCGACGCCGAAGGCAGCCCCACAUUCAAGAUUAGGCUCACCACGAAAGAGUGAGGAGCAACCAGGAUUAGAUUCCUCUGGUAGUCCACACCCAAAACGAUGUCUGGUAGUUGUCGGAUUUUAAUUAACUUGGUAUCGCAGCUAACGAGUCAAGUAGUCCGCCUGGGGACUACGGUCACAAGAAUAAAACUCAAUGGAAUUGACGGGGACCCGCACAAGCGGUGGAUGAUGUGGAUUAAUUGGAUGCAACGCGAAAAACCUUACCUACCCUUGACAAGUUCGGAAGCCACGAGAGAUCGAGGCGUGCUCGAAAGAGAGCCGUAACACAGGUGCUGCAUGGCUGUCGUCAGCUCGUGUCGUGAGAUGUUGGGUUAAGUCCCGCAACGAGCGCAACCCUCGUCAUUAGUUGUUACGAAAGGGCACUAUAAUGAGACUGCCGGUGACAAACCGGAGGAAGGUGGGGAUGACGUCAAGUCCUCAUGGCCCUUAUGGGUAGGGCUUCACACGUCAUACAAUGGUACAUACAGAGGGCCGCCAACCCGCGAGGGGGAGCUAAUCCCAGAAAGUGUAUCGUAGUCCGGAUUGUAGUCUGCAACUCGACUACAUGAAGUUGGAAUCGCUAGUAAUCGCGGAUCAGCAUGUCGCGGUGAAUACGUUCCCGGGUCUUGUACACACCGCCCGUCACAACGAUGGGAGCGGGUUUUACCAGAAGUAGGUAGCUUAACCGCAAGGGGGGCGCUUACCACGUGGAUCGUUGGGAAUUAAGAUUAAA